GUGGGGAAUUUUGGACAAUGGGCGCAAGCCUGAUCCAGCAAUGCCGCGUGCAGGAAGAAGGCCUUCGGGUUGUAAACUGCUUUUGUACGGAACGAAACGGUCCUGGCUAAUACCCGGGGCUAAUGACGGUACCGUAAGAAUAAGCACCGGCUAACUACGUGCCAGCAGCCGCGGUAAUACGUAGGGUGCGAGCGUUAAUCGGAAUUACUGGGCGUAAAGCGUGCGCAGGCGGUGCUGUAAGACAGGCGUGAAAUCCCCGGGCUCAACCUGGGAAUUGCGCUUGUGACUGCAAGGCUGGAGUGCGGCAGAGGGGGAUGGAAUUCCGCGUGUAGCAGUGAAAUGCGUAGAGAUGCGGAGGAACACCGAUGGCGAAGGCAGCCUCCUGGGAUAACACUGACGCUCAGGCACGAAAGCGUGGGGAGCAAACAGGAUUAGAAACCCGGGUAGUCC
rnacentral:rRNA from 1 species